AUUGAACGCUGGCGGCAUGCUUUACACAUGCAAGUCGAACGGUAACAGGCCGCAAGGUGCUGACGAGUGGCGAACGGGUGAGUAAUGCAUCGGAACGUGCCCAGUCGUGGGGGAUAACGCAGCGAAAGCUGCGCUAAUACCGCAUACGAUCUCUGGAUGAAAGCGGGGGACCGAAAGGCCUCGCGCGAUUGGAGCGGCCGAUGUCAGAUUAGGUAGUUGGUGGGGUAAAGGCCCACCAAGCCAACGAUCUGUAGCUGGUCUGAGAGGACGACCAGCCACACUGGGACUUAGACACGGCCCAGACUCCUACGGGAGGCGGCAGUGGGGAAUUUUGGACAAUGGGCGCAAGCCUGAUCCAGCAAUGCCGCGUGCAGGAAGAAGGCCUUCGGGUUGUAAACUGCUUUUGUACGGAACGAAACGGUCCGGGUUAAUACCCUGGACUAAUGACGGUACCGUAAGAAUAAGCACCGGCUAACUACGUGCCAGCCGCCGCCGUAACAC
rnacentral:rRNA from 1 species